AUGAUAGAGGUGCGGCCGACAUCAGUAUCCAAGGACAUCCGCAGGCAAGCGGUUUUGGGGAAAGGGGACGCCGCCGAAAGAACUGCCGCCUUGCCUGGCGCUGUCUCUUGGGACGUGGGAGAACAUCCUUCGGACUGUCACAGAUGUGGAGCGCUAUCA
rnacentral:ncRNA from 1 species